rnacentral:rRNA from 1 species
ACUAAGCGUACACGGUGGAUGCCCUGGCAGUCAGAGGCGAUGAAGGACGUGCUAAUCUGCGAUAAGCGUCGGUGAGGUGAUAUGAACCGUUAUAACCGGCGAUUUCCGAAUGGGGAAACCCAGUGUGUUUCGACACACUAUCAUUAACUGAAUCCAUAGGUUAAUGAGGCGAACCGGGGGAACUGAAACAUCUAAGUACCCCGAGGAAAAGAAAUCAACCGAGAUUCCCCCAGUAGCGGCGAGCGAACGGGGAGGAGCCCAGAGCCUGAAUCAGUGUGUGUGUUAGUGGAAGCGUCUGGAAAGGCGCGCGAUACAGGGUGACAGCCCCGUACACAAAAAUGCACAUACUGUGAGCUCGAUGAGUAGGGCGGGACACGUGGUAUCCUGUCUGAAUAUGGGGGGACCAUCCUCCAAGGCUAAAUACUCCUGACUGACCGAUAGUGAACCAGUACCGUGAGGGAAAGGCGAAAAGAACCCCGGCGAGGGGAGUGAAAAAGAACCUGAAACCGUGUACGUACAAGCAGUGGGAGCCUCUUAAUGGGGUGACUGCGUACCUUUUGUAUAAUGGGUCAGCGACUUAUAUUCUGUAGCAAGGUUAACCGAAUAGGGGAGCCGAAGGGAAACCGAGUCUUAACUGGGCGUUAAGUUGCAGGGUAUAGACCCGAAACCCGGUGAUCUAGCCAUGGGCAGGUUGAAGGUUGGGUAACACUAACUGGAGGACCGAACCGACUAAUGUUGAAAAAUUAGCGGAUGACUUGUGGCUGGGGGUGAAAGGCCAAUCAAACCGGGAGAUAGCUGGUUCUCCCCGAAAGCUAUUUAGGUAGCGCCUCGUGAAUUCAUCUCCGGGGGUAGAGCACUGUUUCGGCAAGGGGGUCAUCCCGACUUACCAACCCGAUGCAAACUGCGAAUACCGGAGAAUGUUAUCACGGGAGACACACGGCGGGUGCUAACGUCCGUCGUGAAGAGGGAAACAACCCAGACCGCCAGCUAAGGUCCCAAAGUCAUGGUUAAGUGGGAAACGAUGUGGGAAGGCCCAGACAGCCAGGAUGUUGGCUUAGAAGCAGCCAUCAUUUAAAGAAAGCGUAAUAGCUCACUGGUCGAGUCGGCCUGCGCGGAAGAUGUAACGGGGCUAAACCAUGCACCGAAGCUGCGGCAGCGACGCUUAUGCGUUGUUGGGUAGGGGAGCGUUCUGUAAGCCUGUGAAGGUGGCCUGUGAGGGUUGCUGGAGGUAUCAGAAGUGCGAAUGCUGACAUAAGUAACGAUAAAGCGGGUGAAAAGCCCGCUCGCCGGAAGACCAAGGGUUCCUGUCCAACGUUAAUCGGGGCAGGGUGAGUCGACCCCUAAGGCGAGGCCGAAAGGCGUAGUCGAUGGGAAACAGGUUAAUAUUCCUGUACUUGGUGUUACUGCGAAGGGGGGACGGAGAAGGCUAUGUUGGCCGGGCGACGGUUGUCCCGGUUUAAGCGUGUAGGCUGGUUUUCCAGGCAAAUCCGGAAAAUCAAGGCUGAGGCGUGAUGACGAGGCACUACGGUGCUGAAGCGACAAAUGCCCUGCUUCCAGGAAAAGCCUCUAAGCAUCAGGUAACAUUAAAUCGUACCCCAAACCGACACAGGUGGUCAGGUAGAGAAUACCAAGGCGCUUGAGAGAACUCGGGUGAAGGAACUAGGCAAAAUGGUGCCGUAACUUCGGGAGAAGGCACGCUGAUAUGUAGGUGAAGCGACUUGCUCGUGGAGCUGAAAUCAGUCGAAGAUACCAGCUGGCUGCAACUGUUUAUUAAAAACACAGCACUGUGCAAACACGAAAGUGGACGUAUACGGUGUGACGCCUGCCCGGUGCCGGAAGGUUAAUUGAUGGGGUUAGCGGUAACGCGAAGCUCUUGAUCGAAGCCCCGGUAAACGGCGGCCGUAACUAUAACGGUCCUAAGGUAGCGAAAUUCCUUGUCGGGUAAGUUCCGACCUGCACGAAUGGCGUAAUGAUGGCCAGGCUGUCUCCACCCGAGACUCAGUGAAAUUGAACUCGCUGUGAAGAUGCAGUGUACCCGCGGCAAGACGGAAAGACCCCGUGAACCUUUACUAUAGCUUGACACUGAACAUUGAGCCUUGAUGUGUAGGAUAGGUGGGAGGCUUUGAAGUGUGGACGCCAGUCUGCAUGGAGCCGACCUUGAAAUACCACCCUUUAAUGUUUGAUGUUCUAACGUGGGCCCCUUACCGGGGUUGCGGACAGUGUCUGGUGGGUAGUUUGACUGGGGCGGUCUCCUCCUAAAGAGUAACGGAGGAGCACGAAGGUUGGCUAAUCCUGGUCGGACAUCAGGAGGUUAGUGCAAUGGCAUAAGCCAGCUUGACUGCGAGCGUGACGGCGCGAGCAGGUGCGAAAGCAGGUCAUAGUGAUCCGGUGGUUCUGAAUGGAAGGGCCAUCGCUCAACGGAUAAAAGGUACUCCGGGGAUAACAGGCUGAUACCGCCCAAGAGUUCAUAUCGACGGCGGUGUUUGGCACCUCGAUGUCGGCUCAUCACAUCCUGGGGCUGAAGUAGGUCCCAAGGGUAUGGCUGUUCGCCAUUUAAAGUGGUACGCGAGCUGGGUUUAGAACGUCGUGAGACAGUUCGGUCCCUAUCUGCCGUGGGCGCUGGAGAACUGAGGGGGGCUGCUCCUAGUACGAGAGGACCGGAGUGGACGCAUCACUGGUGUUCGGGUUGUCAUGCCAAUGGCACUGCCCGGUAGCUAAAUGCGGAAGAGAUAAGUGCUGAAAGCAUCUAAGCACGAAACUUGCCCCGAGAUGAGUUCUCCCUGACUCCUUGAGAGUCCUGAAGGAACGUUGAAGACGACGACGUUGAUAGGCCGGGUGUGUAAGCGCAGCGAUGCGUUGAGCUAACCGGUACUAAUGAACCGUGAGGCUUAACC